AUGGAGCUUCGCCGGACACCGUGGUGCUGCGUUGGAGCUCUUGGCGCGCCGUUGAGAGCCGCAAUGGAGCUUCGCGUGGAUGUCAUCGGUGCUGCAUUGAAGACACGGUGGUCAUCGUCGCGGACAGCUCCUCCGCCGACCCGCGCAAGUUCCCCGGUGCUAAGGUACCUCGAGGAGUUCGCGCGGCGGUUCGACCCCCUCGGGCUGGUCCGGUUCAGGACGGAGGUGGUGAGCGUCCCCCGCAGCAGGGACGACGACGCGGGCUGGAGGGUGAGGCUCGCCUGCGCUGGCAGCAAGCUGGAGGAGGAGGUUAGUGAGCAGCAUCAGGAGGAGGAGCUUCCUCACUCCGCCCUGGAUCUGCGGCUGCCCCGCCCCCCGCUGGCCAUGGACUCCGUCCUAGGGUUUCUGCCGCCGCCGCCGGAGAGGGGAGGGGAGGAGUGUAAAAGGACCAGAGUGAGAUGGCCGGACGGCUCCUCGGGUAGCUCCUCAUCAUGGACAGCACCGUCGUCGGCAGGGCCAUGGUGCAGGUCUACCACCAGACCAUUGUCACCGAGGAACAUCCUGUGGGCUACUUCGAAGCAUGAUGUGUACAUGAUGCAGAACUAUUCUGUGAUGCAUUGGUCGUCCUUACUCCGCAGAGGAAAAGAAGUGCUCAACGUGGCAGGCCCAAAUCAGGUGAUCUACCACAGAGCGAUGUGA
rnacentral:rRNA from 1 species